UUGACCUCGAAUCAGGUAGGACUACCCGCUGAACUUAAGCAUAUCAAUAAGCGGAGGAAAAGAAACCAACAGGG
rnacentral:rRNA from 2 species